GGGGCUAUAGCUCAGUUGGUUAGAGUGCUACGUUGACAUCGUAGAGGUCACUGGUUCGAAUCCAGUUAGCCCCA
rfam:Negativicoccus succinicivorans DORA_17_25 Q612_NSC00329, whole genome shotgun sequence.